AGUGAACGCUGGCGGUAGGCCUAACACAUGCAAGUCGAACGGCAGCACAGUAAGAGCUUGCUCUUACGGGUCGCGAGUGGCGGACGGGUGAGGAAUACAUCGGAAUCUACUUUUUCGUGGGGGAUAACGUAGGGAAACUUACGCUAAUACCGCAUACGACCUACGGGUGAAAGCAGGGGAUCUUCGGACCUUGCGCGAUUGAAUGAGCCGAUGUCGGAUUAGCUAGUUGGCGGGGUAAAGGCCCACCAAGGCGACGAUCCGUGGCUGGUCUGAGAGGAUGAUCAGCCACACUGGAACUGAGACACGGUCCAGACUCCUACGGGAGGCAGCAGUGGGGAAUAUUGGACAAUGGGCGCAAGCCUGAUCCAGCCAUACCGCGUGGGUGAAGAAGGCCUUCGGGUUGUAAAGCCCUUUUGUUGGGAAAGAAAAGCAGCAGGUUAAUACCCCGCUGUUCUGACGGUACCCAAAGAAUAAGCACCGGCUAACUUCGUG
rnacentral:rRNA from 1 species